UCGACGAGCCGCGGAAAACAAAACCGCGAAAUGUUUCGCGGCCGUUUCACUUCGUUCCCAGCAAGGACGUCUCUUUCUGCCUCUUCCGAGGAAACGCGAUGCGUGCCCGCGCCGUCCGCGCUUUCGCACGUCAGAGGCUCGUUUCCAGACGAACGCCUUUUAGCGUGCGACGGCUAAUCUUCGCGCUUCGUGGCCCGCGUGGACUUCGACAGUCGGCAGCAUUGUUGGCUCUCGAGCACGACGAUAAUUAGCUCUCUGUAACGGUUCGCGGUAAGAGGCUAAGCGCUAUCGCACCGGCGAAGAUUCAACCGCCUUUCUUCCGCCGUCGAGCCAGCCUUGCGCGCUGCCGUUCUCGGUAAACGUUCCUUGUUCCUUUUGCGAUUCUCCUUUCUUCCUCCUCCUCCUCCUCUACGUUCCACCUGCUCUAGGUGUCUAGCAUCUAGUUUGUGUGCCGAUUCACACCUUCGCCGGCAGCGCGUUCCCGGAAAGCGGCAGAACCGCCGCCAAUGAGUAGGCAAGGACAUCGGCGAGGAGAAGAGAAAUGACCUCAAUUUAUUACAUUCGACGUUCAACGGUGCUUCAGAAGUUUUAGUGGUUGUGAGAUAAUGCUUGGAGGCAAAAUCGUCCGCUCGUAAUGACGACCAAAUGGAUGAAGACGUAUAAAAACGGAGAGAUAUCUUGUAAUUUUAAAAUGCUUCGAAUUGCGAAGAGAUAACGCUAUAAUGUUAUAUGAUAACGUGCUAAUUAAAUACAACGUUUUAACGUGUCGGGAGCCAAACAGAGAUUGUCAGAUAAUGCAUAUUGGCACAAAAAGCAUUUAAAAGCCGUUAAUUACGACACCGCCGCGAGUGCUGCGAUUCUCCACGCUUGGCGCGCGCGCGCACGUGGAGAGGAGGCCUCGGGUCCAAUGCAGUGCGAAUUAGAGUGGACGAAGGAUUCCCCGUAAACCCGUAGGGCCGAGACGAUCAUUCCGCUGCCCGCCCGUACCGUCUUAUCGAACGAGAAGAAGAGGAAGAUGGAAAGAACAAGAAGUAACAAAAGCUUGCAAUGGUCAGCCGUUACCGCUCGUCUAAGCCAUUAGCGAGCUUUCGUGCCAUCAGACAGUAAUAAAACAGAAUCUGAUCAGUAUCUGCCGUUAUUAUUCAUCACGAGGUAUGUAAGUAUUCGCUUAGAUGGUUCUUCUCGAUUCUCGACGGCUACCUACUGAUGCUUACUUUUCUCGUCCUCGAAUUCCCUUUGCUUCGCGAUCGUAAUUCGAUGCUUAGAAGAAGAUAGAUAAGAUAUGAUCGAUUGGGCGCAUUAAAAUCUAUACAUAUUGUGUUUUUCAAAUAUCGUUGAUCAUCUUUUUCAGAAGUUUCAAUUUUAAUGUUUAAUGUUAAAAAUAAAAUCUAAAAUAUGAAUUGUAAAUAAUAAAAUCUCGGUAAGAUUUUAGUCUCCCAGUAUUGAUCGUAAAAAAUUAAUUAGCGGUCUUUACAACAAUUUCAUUGAAUUUCAUGAAAGUUUUUAAACAACUCUAUGCGCUAGUAUCACAGAAAGACAGCAAGAUACAGUUCUAAUUUCAUGUAAGUUUAAAAAUUUUUAAACAAGUAAAUAUAGAUCGAGAUCAACUUUCUAAAUUAAUGCAAAUAAGACAAGUAUAUAACGUCAUGCUGACGUUAGAUUAAUCUUUGAAUAUUUUGCAAGAUAUUUUUUG